AGGUUUGUGUGAAAAGAUAAAUCUUUCUAGAGUCUAAAGACUCUGCGUCAGAUUUCCUAUUUUCACUGUAACCU
rnacentral:ncRNA from 1 species